rnacentral:rRNA from 1 species
GACGAACGCUGGCGGCGUGCCUAAUACAUGCAAGUUGAGCGCUGAAGGUUGGUACUUGUACCGACCGGAUGAGCAGCGAACGGGUGAGUAACGCGUGGGGAAUCUGCCUUUGAGCGGGGGACAACAUUUGGAAACGAAUGCUAAUACCGCAUAAAAACUUUAAACACAAGUUUUAAGUUUGAAAGAUGCAAUUGCAUCACUCAAAGAUGAUCCCGCGUUGUAUUAGCUAGUUGGUGAGGUAAAGGCUCACCAAGGCGAUGAUACAUAGCCGACCUGAGAGGGUGAUCGGCCACAUUGGGACUGGGACACGGCCCAAACUCCUACGGGAGGCAGCAGUAGGGAAUCUUCGGCAAUGGACGAAAGUCUGACCGAGCAACGCCGCGUGAGUGAAGAAGGUUUUCGGAUCGUAAAACUCUGUUGGUAGAGAAGAACGUUGGUGAGAGUGGAAAGCUCAUCAAGUGACGGUAACUACCCAGAAAGGGACGGCUAACUACGUGCCAGCAGCCGCCGUAA